rnacentral:ncRNA from 1 species
UUUUUUUUUCGACUAUAAAUAAAAGAUUCAUGCAAGUUAGAAAGUCGCCUCGGCGGGAGUUCUGGCAACACAAUCGAAUUGACGGGGACACCCUAAAACCUAUAACACUACCCACUGCGGGAAACUUCAGUGGAAUCCCGUGUGAAAAGCACGGGGGACAGUAACAGAUUGUAGGAUACUUCUUGCCCCUCGGGGUUAGUAAUCAUGGGCGAUCCGCAGCGAAGGCUCUACGUGCUUGAAGCAUAUGAGCAACGUUCACAGACUAGGUGGUUGUGGGUGGAAUAUUAUUGUUCCGCUUAAGAUAUAGUCGGGCUUCUGGGGAAACCUAGGAGGAAAAUUCACUCGGUGGGUUUGGAUAUGCAGCAUUGCACUGAGUAGUAGUACUUUGAAGCUUUCUAUCCCCUCCUCUAAACAAAACCGUUCCGUAGGUGAACCUGCGGAAGGAUCAUUAAUAGAGAUAGAGACUUCACCCGUCUCGAACCUCCAUCCCUUGUGAACAAAUGUUACCUUUGUUGCUUCGGUGCCUCAUCGCACCGAUAAUACCAUUCAAAUUCCUUUCAAAUUAUAUAUUGUCUGAAUAAUAAAAUUAAAAUUAAAUAAAACUUUCAACAACGGAUCUCUUGGUUCUGGCAUCGAUGAAGAACGCAGCGAAAUGCGAUAAGUAAUGUGAAUUGCAGAAUUCAGUGAAUCAUCGAAUCUUUGAACGCACAUUGCACCUUUUGGUAUUCCGAAAGGUAUGCCUGUCCGAGCGUCAUUUCACCUCUCAAACUUCAGUUUGGUGUUGGGCUUGUGUUGACUUGUUCAAUGGCCUCAAAAUCAAUGGCGGCGCGACAUCGAUCCCAAGCGUAGUGACACUAUUUCUGCUUUGGUGAUGGAUGUUGUGAUGGCUAAAAUUUGACGACUCUGUGUCUGACCUAUUACG